rnacentral:rRNA from 1 species
UACGUAGGGGGCUAGCGUUGUCCGGAAUCAUUGGGCGUAAAGAGCGUGUAGGCGGUCCGGUAAGUCCGCUGUGAAAGUCGGGGGCUCAACCCUCGAAUGCCGGUGGAUACUGUCGGGCUAGAGUGCGGAAGAGGCGAGUGGAAUUCCUGGUGUAGCGGUGAAAUGCGCAGAUAUCAGGAGGAACACCGAUGGCGAAGGCAGAUCUCUGGGCCGUAACUGACGCUGAGGAGCGAAAGCAUGGGGAGCGAACAGG